CCUGGCUCAGGAUGAACGCUAGCGACAGGCUUAACACAUGCAAGUCGAGGGGCAGCGGGGGUAGCAAUACCCGCCGGCGACCGGCGCACGGGUGAGUAACGCGUAUGCAACUUACCUAUCAGAGGGGGAUAACCCGGCGAAAGUCGGACUAAUACCGCAUGAAGCAGGGGCCCCGCAUGGGGAUAUUUGCUAAAGAUUCAUCGCUGAUAGAUAGGCAUGCGUUCCAUUAGGCAGUUGGCGGGGUAACGGCCCACCAAACCGACGAUGGAUAGGGGUUCUGAGAGGAAGGUCCCCCACAUUGGUACUGAGACACGGACCAAACUCCUACGGGAGGCAGCAGUGAGGAAUAUUGGUCAAUGGGCGUAAGCCUGAACCAGCCAAGUCGCGUGAGGGAUGAAGGUUCUAUGGAUCGUAAACCUCUUUUAUAAGGGAAUAAAGUGCGGGACGUGUCCCGUUUUGUAUGUACCUUAUGAAUAAGGAUCGGCUAACUCCGUGCCAGCAGCCGCGGUAAUACGGAGGAUCCGAGCGUUAUCCGGAUUUAUUGGGUUUAAAGGGUGCGUAGGCGGCCUUUUAAGUCAGCGGUGAAAGUCUGUGGCUCAACCAUAGAAUUGCCGUUGAAACUGGGGGGCUUGAGUAUGUUUGAGGCAGGCGGAAUGCGUGGUGUAGCGGUGAAAUGCUUAGAUAUCACGCAGAACCCCGAUUGCGAAGGCAGCCUGCCAAGCCAUGACUGACGCUGAUGCACGAAAGCGUGGGGAUCAAACAGGAUUAGAUACCCUGGUAGUCCACGCAGUAAACGAUGAUCACUAGCUGUUUGCGAUACACUGUAAGCGGCACAGCGAAAGCGUUAAGUGAUCCACCUGGGGAGUACGCCGGCAACGGUGAAACUCAAAGGAAUUGACGGGGGCCCGCACAAGCGGAGGAACAUGUGGUUUAAUUCGAUGAUACGCGAGGAACCUUACCCGGGUUUGAACGCAUUCGGACCGAGGUGGAAACACCUUUUCUAGCAAUAGCCGUUUGCGAGGUGCUGCAUGGUUGUCGUCAGCUCGUGCCGUGAGGUGUCGGCUUAAGUGCCAUAACGAGCGCAACCCUUGCCACUAGUUACUAACAGGUAAAGCUGAGGACUCUGGUGGGACUGCCAGCGUAAGCUGCGAGGAAGGCGGGGAUGACGUCAAAUCAGCACGGCCCUUACAUCCGGGGCGACACACGUGUUACAAUGGCGUGGACAAAGGGAAGCCACCUGGCGACAGGGAGCGAAUCCCCAAACCACGUCUCAGUUCGGAUCGGAGUCUGCAACCCGACUCCGUGAAGCUGGAUUCGCUAGUAAUCGCGCAUCAGCCAUGGCGCGGUGAAUACGUUCCCGGGCCUUGUACACACCGCCC
rnacentral:rRNA from 1 species